CUACCCGCUGAACUUAAGCAUAUCAUAA
rnacentral:rRNA from 1 species